AGCAGUCUGCGCUAAAAUGGACGCCCAGGUCACAUAUGGACUCGGAUUUGGGUGAUCUUUACAUGGAUGGAAAGCUAAGAAGAUAACCUUUCAAAUGGCGCUGGUCCCAGGCCCAAAUUCAUCAGGAGUCAACGGGAAAAUAUUCCACAAGUUGAUGUCCAGAAUCUUUCUCAGUGUUGCGCCACUGUCUUUGGUCCUUUGGGCCGUGUAUCUUGUCUUGGCCCACUAGGGUUGCGACCAGGGGGUCUUGGCCGCCCCAAACUCCUCUUAUCCAGCCACAACUCCCCUCCUCUAGGGUUGGGUUUUGCUUAGUUCAUUUCUGUCAAGAACAGGACGCCGUUCUUCGGUUGUGGAACCCCACUCGUGAGUUGAAUCAAUUGCUUUCUGUGAUUUGGUUGCUUCUCCGUGCACUUGCUUGUGUUCUUCGAUUCACAGGCAAGAGUAAGCCUUCUUGGCGAGGUCAAUCGAGCAGCAGCUAGGUUGAUAACCAGAGGAUUCGUGGUGCUAAGAUUGCAGGGUUCAUUUCUUUGGAUUUGAAGCCGGAUCGGUGUGUCUCGAAUCCGCCCAAAUCGAUAGUUAUCUGAACCUUUCGGAAGAUCGGGAAUCCAAGUCUUAUCAUGUGGUAAUCAGAGCAAAGGUAUACCGUCAGGUUCGCAUCGAAUCCCUCUAGUUCGAGUAUUUUUUUUUCAACCUACAGUCCACAGCCAUAUUGUUUUUCCCCUUCCUAGAACCUUCCGCGCCAUAGCCUCUGCAUUUGUUAGUUUCAGAGUUCGUAGUGUUGAAUUUGUGUCCUUGUCAAAGUCUUGUUGCUGGUUGGGGUCGUGUUAGAGUCCAGUUUAUGUGUUUUCCCCUCCUUUUGCAUCAAACCCUAGCUGCCACCACAAUUUUUUGUGCACGUUAUUUCCUUUCUAUCCUCCAAUUUGGAGUGUAUCUUAAAGCACGAAUAAAUUUGGUCUUUCACUUGCUGGAGCUCCAGUUUUCUGUGUUACUUCUUGUGUGCUCCUGAAUCAAGGAAAAAAUAUCCAAAAAAAGAAACAAAGAGAAAAAAAUAACAGCCCAAAAAAAUUGAAAAAAAAGAGGGCAAAAGAGGAACAACAUCUGCAGGAGCACAUGGAGAAGAGCAUAGUGAGCUGUGUUGGUGUGUGAUGUCUUGUGCUUUGUUUGUGGCCCUUUUUGAUCAACAUAUUUGUUCUCUACCUUGUUAUCACAACUCUGGUACUUGGAACACUUUAGACCAGCAACAAGAACAAUAACUUGGGACUAUAAUUCAGCAUUGCUAUCGGUUACUAAUUUUUGUGCCACAUAUAUAUUUAUCUCUAUGCCUUCCCAAGCUCCACAUAUUCCUUCAGAUCAGUACAGAAAGAGGACCCUUGCAAUCUUGGUGUCACCUCCUCACAAGCAUCACGAACCAGCCGCCGAUUGCACCAACUCUUGUUUUGUGAUUGGUAAGAACUUUUGCAAGUGCUUGUGGAGGAGCUGCCAUUUUGCAUGAUUGAGAGGCACCACUACAGCUUGUAGUCUUUUAUUAGGGAUAACCUUCACUGCUUGCUGCCGUGUUGGUGUUUGUAAUGGCAGGGGAUGAACAGGCAAACUCUCCCAAAGAUUUCAAUGAGUGUGUUAGUAGAGCUCAACUUCAAGCUGCCAUGGAGGGAUGAAUGAUGCAAUCAAGAAGGCUGUCACCGAUGCACUAAUUGAUCUCAAGCUUGGUAGCAGCAUAGAGAGGUUGGAUAGGCGGAUAUCUACUUUAACCGAUAAGGUUACAGAGUUAGAAAACCAUCUACCAAAUGAGGAAGAUACGGGAGGAAACAACUCGAAUGAAGAUGCUGUUUUUGAUGAGGAUGGAAACAUAGAUGCUGCAGCCACCCGAACAGCGAUGCUACGACAUCGUCUACGUGAGAACAGGAGAGGUAUGGGUGGUCAUCGACAUCAAGGUCACGCCCAACAUGCUCCCGAUGAUCCUUAUGCUAAGGUAAAGUUCACAAUUCCAUCUUUUUCGGGCCAUUAUGAUGCUGAGGGGUAUCUUGAUUGGAAGAUGACAGUAGAGCAGAAAUUUAGUGCCCACCUUGUUCCUGAAAGACAUAGAGUUCGACAAGCCUCUAGUGAGUUUAAGGAUUUUGCAAUCAUUUGGUAGAGUGGGUUAGCUGUAGAAAAUGCUUUACCGACCAUAUGGGAACAACUUAAGGUAGCUAUGCGUGAUCGUUUUGUUCCCCCUUCCUACCAUAGAGACUUGCGUAAGAAAUUGAUGCGCUUAGAGCAAGGAGAGAAAUCUGUCCAAGAUUACUAUGGGGAGCUCCAAAAGGGCGUGAUGCGUUGUGGUGUUGUGGAGGGGCCUGAGGAUUCUAUUUAUCAUUUUUAUUCGGGUCUAAGGCGUGAGAUUCAGGACAUUGUUGAUUAUAAGGAAUUUAACACUAUCAACCGGUUGUUUCAGUUUGCUAUACUUGCAGAGAAGGAAUUGCAAGGAUGUGAGCAGCAAGGCAGGGGCAAGUCCACCACCUCCUACACGCCACGAACAAUGACAUCAACGGGGCUGAACAAGUCUGCAACUUUCCGGAUGCCACCACCACCAGCUAGCAAGCGACCAGCAGCUUCGGGAGUUGCUGCAGUGCCCACACGGUCCUCCGAUUUAGGUAAAAAUUCUGCGCAGGUACCCGCAAAGAGUUCAUCAUCCAUGGCAUCAACGGGGCGCACCUCUGGCAUCCAAUGCCACCAUUGCCAUGGGCUUGGCCAUGUGCAGAAGGACUGCCCAAGUCAGCAAGCAUACAUUGCUACAGAGGAUGGCUACAUCAGCACCUCUGACAUUGAAGAUGAAGAAGAGAAAGAAAAUGAUGAUGGUGAAGAAGAGAUCCUUGGCGGAGAGGAUACAACGACCUAUAGGAGCGCCAUUGUUCAGCGGGUGCUCAACACACAAGUGCAACAGCCCGACCAGCUGCAACGCCACAAUCUAUUUCAGAUUUUCUUCAUCAUCAACAACCGACGUGUGCGAGUCAUUAUUGAUGGAGGUAGUUGCAAUAAUUUGGUAAGUUCUGAGUUGAUCAAGAAGCUUGGCUUGACCACACGGCCACACCGACAUCCAUACCAUAUUCAGUGGCUAAAUGAUUUGGGAAAGGCUAAGGUAACACAAACUUGCAGAGUUUCUUUUUCCAUUGGGUCAUAUUCAGAUUCGGUUGAUUGUGAUGUGGUACCUAUGCAAGCUUGUUCACUUUUGUUGGGUAGGCCUUGGGAACAUGAUAAUGAUGCCACACACCAUGGUAGAAGUAACAAAUACACCUUUGUGCAUAAAGGAAAGAAAUAUACUUUGCUACCUUUGACCCCUGCUGAAAUUGUACAAGCUGAGAAAGAGCGAGCUGCUAGUUUGAAUGACACAAAAUCUGAAAAUCAACAAGUAGCAAAAUCUACUUUUCCACAUAAAAGGGAUAAACCUGCACCUAAUUCUAAGAAUGAGGGCAUUAAAUUGAAGGGUGGAGUUAUGCUUGCAACAAAAUGUGACUUUGCUGAAAUUUUUGUAGAUGAUGUUUGCUAUGUCUUGCUUUACAAACAAGCUUUGUUUUCACUUGAUGAUAUCUCUAGCUCGAUACCUCCUGCUGUCACUAACCUUUUGCAGGAGUACGAGGAUGUUUUUCCAGCUGAGGUACCACCGGGGCUGCCACCUGUGAGAGGAAUAGAACAUCAAAUCGACUUGAUUCCGGGGGCAACUUUGCCCAACCGAGCAGCCUACCGAACCAACCCCGAGGAGACUAAGGAAAUUCAGUGACAAGUCCAAGAACUUUUGAACCGUGGGUAUGUACGUGAGAGCCUUAGUCCUUGUGCUAUUCCUAUGAUUUUAGUUCCGAAGAAAGAUGGUACUUGGCGUAUGUGUGUUGAUUGUAGUGCUAUCAAUAAUAUUACAAUUCGGUACCGUUAUCCUAUUCCUAGGCUUGAUGACAUGCUUGAUGAGUUGUGCGGUUCUAUAAUUUUCACAAAGAUUAAUUUGCGAAGUGGCUACCACCAGAUUAGAAUGAAACUUGGAGAUGAAUGGAAAACAGCUUUUAAAACCAAAUUUGGGUUGUAUGAGUGGUUAGUAAUGCCUUUCGGUUUGACUAAUGCACCUAGCACUUUCAUGCGCUUAAUGAAUGAGGUUUUGAGGGCUUUCAUUGGAUGAUUUGUGGUAGUUUACUUUGAUGAUAUCUUGAUUUAUAGCAAGUCUUUGGAUGAACACAUGGAUCACCUACGUGCUGUUUUUAACGCUUUACGUGAUGCUUGUUUGUUUGGUAACCUUGAGAAGUGCAUCUUUUGCACGGAUCGAGUCUCUUUCCUUGGCUAUGUUGUUACUCCACAGGGAAUUGAGGUGGAUGAGUUAAAAAUUGAAGCAAUCAAGAGCUGGCCGGUUCCCCAAACCAUCACGCAGGUGAGGAGUUUUCUUGGUCUUGCAGGAUUCUACCGUCGUUUCAUCAAAGAUUCCAGCACCAUUGCAGCCCCCUUGCAUGAGUUGACAAAGAAAGGGGUGGUGUUACAUUGGGGAAAGGCACAUGAUGAGUCCUUCAAUCCUUUGAAGGGCAAGCUUACACACGCACCAUUGCUGCAACUUCCGAACUUUGGUAAGACUUUUGAGCUUGAAUGUGAUGCUAGCGGAGUUGGCAUUGGGGCUGUUUUAAUGCAAGAUGGUAAACCCGUUGUAUACUUUAGUGAAAAACUGCAUGGUCCUAUUUUAAAUUACUCCACGUAUGAUAAGAAAUUGUAUGCUCUUGUACGUUUUUUAGAAACGUGGCGUCAUUAUUUGUGGCCUAAGGAGUUUGUUAUCCAUUCCGAUCAUGAAUCGCUUAAGUAUCUUCGCUCUCAAAAUAAUCUGAACCGUCGACAUGCAAAGUGGGUAGAGCUGAUUGAAUCUUUCCCUUAUGUUAUCAAACACAAGAAAGGGAAGGAUAAUGUGAUUGCGGAUGCUUUAUCUAGGCGAUAUACCCUGUUGUCCCAACUUGAUUGUCGUCUUUUUGGACUUGAAUCGAUAAAAGAACAAUAUGCACUUGAUCCUGAUUUUAAAGAUGUGUUGCUGAAUUGUAGAGAGGGACGUACAUGGAACAAGUUUGUGAUCAAUGAUGGGCUAUUGUUUAGAGCUAACCGCCUAUGCAUUCCAGUUGGUUCCGUUCGUCACUUAUUGUUACAGGAAGUGCAUGGAGGAGGGCUGAUGGGACAUUUUGGUGCUAAGAAGACGGAGGAUGUUUUAGCCUCACAUUUCUUUUGGCCAAAGAUGAGAAGAGAUAUUGAGUGAUUCGUGGCGCGUUGCACCACAUGUCAAAAAGCUAAGUCACGCUUGAAUCCGCAUGGUUUAUACAUGCCUCUUCCCGUUCCUUCUAUUCCUUGGACAGAAAUUUCAAUGGACUUUGUUUUGGGAUUGCCUCGAACUAAGAGGGGGAGGGAUAGCAUCUUUGUGGUGGUGGAUCAUUUUUCUAAGAUGGCACACUUCAUACCAUGUCAUAAGAGUGAUGAUGCUGUUCAUAUUGCUGACCUCUUUUUCAAAGAGAUUGUUCAUUUGCAUGGUAUGCCUUCAACUAUUGUUUCAGAUCGCGAUGCUAAAUUCUUGAGUCACUUUUGGCGCACUCUGUGGAACAAGUUGGGGACAAAGCUGCUGUUCUCUACAACAUGUCACCCACAAACCGAUGGACAAACAGAGGUGGUGAACCGCACCUUGGGCACCAUGUUGAGGGCUGUUUUGAAGAAAAAUUUGAAGGUGUGGGAAGAAUGUUUGCCUCUAGUGGAGUUUGCAUACAAUCGGGCAACACAUUCUACCACCAAGGUAAGUCCUUUUCAGGUAGUGUAUGGUUUCAACCCCCUUACUCCAAUUGAUAUAUUGCCUUUACCUGCUAGUGAGAGGAUUCAUAGUGAUGCCAAGAAACGUGAUGAAUUUAUUUUGCAAAUGCAUGAGACAACUAAGCACAACAUUGAGAAGAUGAACGAAAAGUAUAGAAUUACUAGUAGUAAAGGUAAACAAGAAAUUAAACUUCAACCAGGAGAUUUAGUUUGGUUACACCUUAAAAAGGAUAGAUUUCCAGAAUUGAGAAAGUCUAAGUUGAUGCCCAGGGCAGAUGGUCCUUUCAAAAUAAUUGAGAAAAUAAAUGAUAAUGCAUAUAAGCUUGAGUUGCCUCCCGAAUUUGGGGUUAGUCCCACCUUUAAUAUUUCAGAUUUAAAGCCAUACUUGGGAGAAGAAGAUGAGCUUGAGUCGAGGAUGACUCCAAUUCAAGAGGGAGAGGAUGAUGAGAACAUCACUCCUUGGAUACAAACAACAAUCCUCCACGGAAUGUUCAAGGUCCAAUCACUAGAGCUCGAGCACGACAAUUGAAUCUAGAGGUGAGCUCGUUCCUAAACUCCUCUUCAAAUGAUUAUGAGAAUAGAUUGCUACCGAAUGAUUAUAUUGUGAUUAGGAACCAUGGAGAAGGCCAAAGAAUACUUGGAGAAGGGCUUGGAGGCGUGGAGGACCAGCAAGGACAUACAAGUCAAGAGGGAGGCCCAAACCAACUGACCUCGGGUCUGUUUUUCGGCUCCAGGAGCAGUCUGCGCUAAAAUGGACGCCCAGGUCACAUAUGGACUCAGAUUUGGGUGAUCUUUAGAUGGAUGGAAAGCUAAGAAGAUAACCUUUCAAAUGGCGCUGGUCCCAGGCCCAAAUUCAUCAGGAGUUGACGGGAAAAUAUUCCACAAGUUGGUGUCCAGAAUCUGUCUCAGUGUUGCGCCACUGUCUUUGGUCCUUUGGGCCGUGUAUCUUGUCUUGGCCCACUAGGGUUGCGAC
rnacentral:lncRNA from 1 species